GAUGAACGCUGGCGGCGUGCUUAACACAUGCAAGUCGAACGGAGAGCUAUUGACGGAGUUUUCGGACAACGGAUAUAGUUUCUUAGUGGCGGACGGGUGAGUAACGCGUGAGGAACCUGCCUUGGAGAGGGGAAUAACACAGAGAAAUUUGUGCUAAUACCGCAUAAUGCAGUUGGGUCGCAUGGCUCUGACUGCCAAAGAUUUUAUCGCUCUGAGAUGGCCUCGCGUCUGAUUAGCUGGUUGGUGGGGUAACGGCCUACCAAGGCGACGAUCAGUAGCCGACCUGAGAGGGUGACCGGCCACAUUGGGACUGAGACACGGCCCAA
rnacentral:rRNA from 1 species